rnacentral:rRNA from 1 species
UACGAAGGUGGCAAGCGUUGUUCGGAUUUACUGGGCGUACAGGGAGCGUAGGCGGUUGGGUAAGCCCUCCGUGAAAUCCCCAGGCUUAACCUGGGAACUGCGUCGGAUACUGGAUGGCUUGAAUUCGGGAGAGGGAUGCAGAAUUCCAGGUGUAGCGGUGAAAUGCGUAGAUAUCUGGAGGAAUACCGGUGGCGAAGGCGGCAUCCUGGACCGACAUUGACGCUGAACGGCGAAAGCUAGGGGAGCAAACGGG